UGGGUUGUAGCUCAAAUGGUAGAGUGCUCGCUUUGCAUGUGAGAGGCACGGGGUUCGAUCCCCUGCAGCUCCA
rnacentral:tRNA from 1 species